rnacentral:rRNA from 1 species
GAGGCACGAAAGCGUGGGUAGCGAACGGGAUUAGAUACCCCGGUAGUCCACGCUGUAAACGAUGUGAACGAGGUGUGGGCAGUGUAGAAGCCGUCUGUGCCGGAGCAAACGCGAUAAGUUCACCGCCUGGGGAGUACGGUCGCAAGGCUAAAACCCAAAGGAAUUGACGGGGGCCCGCACAAGCAGCGGAGCGUGUGGUUUAAUUCGAUGCAACGCGAAGAACCUUACCUGGGCUUGACAUGUACGUAGUAGUGAAGGGAAACCGGAACGAGCCUUCGGGCAGCGUAGACAGGUGCUGCAUGGCUGUCGUCAGCUCGUGUCGUGAGAUGUUGGGUUAAGUCCCGCAACGAGCGCAACCCGUGUUGCUAGUUACAAGUGUCUAGCGAGACUGCCGGUAACAAGCCGGAGGAAGGUGCGGAUGAUGUCAAGUCAGCAUGGCCUAUAUGUCCAGGGCUACACACACGCUACAAUGGCUGGUACAAAGAGGAGCGAAAGGGAGACCUGAAGCGAAUCUCAUCAAAGCCAGUCAUAGUUCGGAUUGCAGGCUGCAACUCGCCUGCAUGAAGUCGGAGUUGCUAGUAACCGCAGGUCAGCAAUACUGCGGUGAAUACGUUCCCGGGCCUUGUACACAC